UACGAAGGGGGCUAGCGUUGUUCGGAAUCACUGGGCGUAAAGCGCACGUAGGCGGAUCUUUAAGUCAGAGGUGAAAUCCCAAGGCUCAACCUUGGAACUGCCUUUGAUACUGGGGAUCUUGAGUUCGGGAGAGGUGAGUGGAAUGCCGAGUGUAGAGGUGAAAUUCGUAGAUAUUCGGCGGAACACCAGUGGCGAAGGCGACUCACUGGCCCGAUACUGACGCUGAGGCGCGAAAGCCAGGGGAGCAAACGGG
rnacentral:rRNA from 1 species